rnacentral:sRNA from 1 species
UGGAGCGCGAUGUCAUCCUUCGGUCCCUCGUUGCCGGCUGACCUGAACUGGUGUCUACUCUGUUGACGUUUCGUCCCUAAGCUUUGUGUUUUCAUGAGCAGCUUGUUGGCCUGGUGUAGACCCGCCGUGUUAACCACACAAAACAAGGUUUUCUUGACCCGGGAUAACAUGUUUCUCUAAUUGUACGAUCCUUAAAUUUAGAGCAAUCGCAGGCGCUGGCUCAGUCAAUAAAGGAUCCGGGCCCAACACGCACAUUCACAGUAGUUCCCAGGGCAGCAGCAAAUUUCCUCUACUUCUAAAACCCUGUUCCUGAUGUUGGAUAUUAAAGGCUCCCUCAGGACUGUGGAAAUGGAAGGAUUACAGCGGGACUGAUAGAGACUUGAAAUCUAGAUCUGGUUUUGCUACUGGGAUCUUGAACAAAUUAUUUAUCCCCUUUGGACCUUGGUCCUCAUCUUUAAAGCGAAAGUACUGAAAUCCCACCUUAUGUGAUGAAGUGUCCAAGCAAUGGUUUGUGUAGCAGACUUCCUGCAGACUGUAUAGACUGCACAACAAAU